rnacentral:misc_RNA from 1 species
CUGUUUGUUUGUGGGCACUCGUAGCACGCCCGCCACAAGGUACGUACAUCCGCAACGGGAAAGCGCGAGAGACUUGUCGGAUCACGCUCCGACUCCUCCUCCCCCCUCUCUGUACAAAGGCACCACAUGCGCAGCAGCUGCAGCACAUCAAGGCAUGCCCGCGUCUUUCAGACGUCGACUUGGCCGAUAGUGACACACGCGCCGAUGCCGCUUCGUCUCAGAGUGGGACAGCUGCUUGUGUGCGCCACGGCGGAGGCGAGGAGGUGCGUAUCGACUACCUCAUCAUCAUCUUCUGUGAGACCUUUCGCGGAACACCUUGUCGCAGAAAAGACGCGCCUGAUGGCGGAGAGGGCUAACGCGCGUGCGGACAACGUGAGCCGUCUGCGAGCGCUCUUGCAGUCAUGCCCGGCCCACGAGCGCCGGAAACUGUUUCCGAAGCCCCAUCCUCACCCCCGCCGCGACGUGUGGCCGCCCGCCACACCGGUCGAUCCACCGUCGCGGUACCCCAGCGCCAGCGCACGGAUCAAGAAGUCAGCCGCAUCGGACACGUAUCGCUUCCGUAGCAGUGCAGUGAUAGAGUCGGUCCAGCAGGGUGCCAGUCGUCGUGCAGCCGCUGACACACAAGACGCCACUGACGAGUGCAGUGCGAAAGGGCCGCAGGAGAAGGGUUACUAUGACUCGCCAUGCUGGUACAGCGCACCACCUGGGACGUGGAUGGAUGCUACGUACUUUAUUGCCCACCAGAGCAACCGCUGGAAUUCACUCUUCCAUGACCUGUAUUACAUCCGUAACGAACCAACGGCGCCUCUGCUGCGUUGCCCAGCGUGUGUGGGGCAGCGACUACGCGACGGCGUGGCGGCACAGCCUCGGUCAGAGUCCGCCAGCUUGUCUGCGCCUUGUGCAGCCGCGGAGGUUCCGCCGGCGUCAUCGUCGUCGCCGCUUUGGAUGGCUCCGGCGGAGCUGCAUCGGCAUCUGAGUUUCAUCCACGCCGGCGAGCUUUUCACGCCACACGAGCUCAAGUUGUACAACGCACAGGUGCUUCAUGAGCUGCGGUACAGCUGCGGUCUUGCGCCGGCUCCCACGCCUGCUGACGGUGAAAUCGGCACCGGCGUAGCGCCGGGUGUACGUAAGACGCAGCCUGCUCGCGUCAUCCUCGUCGCUGACGUAGCCAACGUCGAGCUCGGUUCCCCCAGUGAGCUGCUGGAGAUGCUUCUCUCACCGAAGCUGCUGCGCGUCUUCUCCGACUUUCCUGUGGCUUUCUGCGCCACGCACGAGCUCUUCGUGCCCGUGAUCUCGAAGACGCUCCACACCCUGUACCAGCUGGCCCGCCUUCACCCAGCGUCUACCCUGCACGUCUUCUUUGCGAACACGUCCCUAGAAUCGGGCGAUCUGUUGACCUCCUCAUACCUGAACGAUCUCCUCCUCGCAAGCCCACGCUGCGCCGUUCCACCGGUGGUGUUGCUGACGGCUGACCUGCAGCAGCAGCGGGCCUUGCAGGAGGUGCACGGGGCACCGGCGCACGGUAUCGGCAAUGGCGGGCACGUACGCUGGGUGAAGCCUCUCACAGCAGCGCAGCUGGUGUUUGACCUGUACGCCGCCCUCGAGAGUUCGCAGUCCCUCAUGUGAGCUAGUACGGGGGCUGGAAAGCAAAUGGAGAGGGGAGAGCGGGCGGAGGGUGCGGGGGGUGCGCCAUCUCCGACUGCUGAACUGCGAAGACAGGUGAUGAAGUCCCCCCGGUGGAGGCCAGCGCACGCAUGCCACCUACUUGUCUGAGCAGCGGCACCGACUCCCGGUUCUCUUCUUCCGCCCUUGUGCGUCUCUGUAUGUGAGCAUCUCUCUCUUCCCGGCCAGAGUACCAUACUGCGAACUUCCACCCGCCCACCCACCCCGUCAUUCAGAGCCCCUCUCUCCCUCCACACGGCACCUCCACAGAAUCCCAUCGCCGCUGUCGACGUUGUUGCAUGCGUGGACUACGCGCUUUCUUCAGGGGGAUGCUCAACCCCGCUCUUCCCCCUCCCUGCCUCUCUG